AGCAGCCGCGGUAAUUCCAGCUCCAAUAGCGUAUAUUAAAGUUGUUGCAGUUAAAAAAGCUCGUAGUUGAAUUUCGAGAUCAAAUUGUUGGUCGUGCCUUGGUACGCACUGGCAUUAUUGGUUUCUCCCUUCUGAAGAACCAUGAUGUCAUUAAUUUGGUGUCUUGGGGAAUCAGGACUGUUACUUUGAAAAAUUGAGUGUUUAAAGCAGGCUCGCGCUUGAAUACAUUAGCAUGGAAUAAUGAAAUAGGACGUUUGAUUCUAUUUUGUUGGUUUCUAGGAUCGACGUAAUGAUUAAUAGGGAUA
rnacentral:rRNA from 1 species